CUCAGUGAAAUGAUGCUGGUAUGCCUCAUGGUCAUGCCCAGCUCCAGGGAGUAGAAGUGAUUUCCCAAAGCGUAGGCCAAAUUUUGCGUUUGAGUCACACAACACAGAACUAAGGACUGAGCCAUCCUUUCAAGCAAGCUCAAGAAGUGGCUUCGGCAAGUCAUUAGCUGGAACCCAAGGAAAAUCAGGAAACUUGAAAUCUGUAACUAACUGCUCUGUCCUUAUUCAUAGUGGACCUCACUCCAAAUCCAACUCCAACUCUAAGAAUAAAUCUUUCAGAGCUUACUGUUUUGUGAACUGAGACGAUAAUUUGCUCCAGCUGAGCCCAUCUACUCAUCUGCUUGACUAUGAGGACAUGACAUCCAUGAUACAUCUUUCGCACCGGAAAAAAUGUGCCAGCCACUUGCUAGCCAUUGGUCAGGAUGCCACCACCUGCCCAUAUCACAGUUUUGGCACGCUGCAAGCUUCAUGUCUCCACGAGUAAUUACAGAUUUCCCUGUUCGGUGUGACGGGAGGAGCUGUUUGCUGGCCAGGGGGUUACAAGCGUGGUCUGAUGAACAGUACAGAAAUAAUGCUGGCCACAGGGCUCGGGGGCACAGCUAUGCUGGUAGCUUGCCAAGGUCUCCCUAGCAUGUGUCCUGCUGUGCUGCCUUCACCACCAGCUUACGUUCCUCCCAGGAGAGCAGCAACUGAAGGCCUGCAGCUGUCCAUGGGGAGACAGGUGAUACCGUGCCACUGCAACCUUUGUACUCCAGAAAGGUUUUCAACAAUGUUUUAACAGACUCUGGGCUUCGUAAUAUUAGGUAUAUCUAUGAUAAAUAUAAAUGUAUGAGAAGUUCCGUGCACUGAACACAUAACAUCUGCAACUACUUGCAAAGGCUGCACCCAUCUCAAAAUCUGCCUUUUAAGGUCCUGUUCCGAGAAUUUACAGGCCAUUCCAAACCGGACUCCCCGAAACGCGGCCCUGCCCUGCCUAAAACCCGGGGCCGGGGCCGGGGCCGCAGC